rnacentral:rRNA from 2 species
CCCAGUUCAGGGAGGUAGUGACAAUAAAUACCUUACAGAGGUCUCGUUAACCGAGAUCUCUCAAACGGAAUGAGUACAACGUGAAUCCUUUAACGAGGAUCGACUGGAGGGCAAGCCUGGUGCCAGCAGCCGCGGUAAUUCCAGCUCCAGUAGCGUAUAUUAAAGCUGUUGCGGUUAAAAAGCUCGUAGUUGGAUAUCAGUGCGUGUCCGGUCCGGUAUGCCUGGCGCUGUCGCUCGCGCGGCAAUGCUGGGCUCCCAAAUAUCGGCUGGCCGCAUUCAAUCGUGCCGGAUCCGUCGGCGGGCCGCUCUUCGGAGGGGCCUGUUGGCGGCCGGCGACGUUACCUUGAACAAAUUAGAGUGCUCAAAGCAGGCUCUUAAUGCCUGUAUACAUAUUCAUGGAAUUGGAGAAUACGUCCCUGGCUCGAUUUGGUUGGUUUUGAGAGUCGAAGGGAAAUGAUUAAUAGGGACUGACGGAGGCAUUCGUAUUGCGACGCGAGGGGUGAAAUCCUGUGACCGUCGCACGACGAACUACUGCGAAAGCAUUUGCCGAGAAUGUUUUCAUUAGUCAAGAACGAAAGUUAGAGGUUCGAAGGCGAUCAGAUACCGCCCUAGUUCUAACCGUAAACGAUGUCGACCAGCAAUCCGCAACGGUCACUAUACGGACUGUGCGGGCAGCUUCCCCGGGGAAACCAGAGUUUUUGGACUCCGGGGGAAGUAUGGUUGCAAAGCUGAAACUUAAAGGAAUUGACGGAAGGGCACCACCAGGAGUGGAGCUUGCGGCUUAAUUUGACUCAACACGGGACAACUCACCAGGCCCGGACACCGUAAGGAUUGACAGACUGAUAGCUCUCUCUUGAUUCAGUGGGUGGUGGUGCAUGGCCGUUCUUAGUUGGUGGAGUGAUUUGUCUGGUUUAUUCCGAUAACGAACGAGACUCUGGCCUAUUAAACUUGACGCUGUCAGUCUCUUGUGACUGCGGCGGGCUUCUUAGAGGGAUCAUCGGCAUAUAAGCCGAAGGAAAGGGAGCAAUAACAGGUCUGUGAUGCCCUUAGAUGUUCUGGGCUGCACGCGUGUUACACUGAAGUGGUCAGCGCGCCGUUCAACACCCCUCUCCGUGAGGAGCUUGGGCAAACGUUUGAACCCUUUUCGUGAUGGGAAUUGGGGGUUGCAAUUG